rnacentral:rRNA from 1 species
CCACUAGUAACGGCCGGCCCAGGUUGCUGGAAUUCGGCUUGCUUAAAGGGGCCGUAGCCGACUAGGCAAGUCUCCAGUUAAAUCCAACGAAAGGAUCGUUGGGCUGCUGGAGAUACUGCCUAGUUAGGGGGCAGGAGAGGCUGACGGUAUUCCUGGGUUAGGGGUGAAAUCCUAUAACCCUAGGAGGACCACCAAUGGCGAAGGCAGUCAGCUAGAAUGCGCCCGACGGUGAAGGACGAAAGCUGGGGGAGCAAACCGGAUUAGAUACCCGGGUAGUCCCAGCCGUAAACGAUGCAGGCUAGGAGUUGGGAUAGCCACGAGCUAUCCCAGUUCCGCAGAGAAGUCAUUAAGCCUGCCGCUUGGGAAGUACGGCCGCAAGGCUGAAACUUAAAGGAAUUGGCGGGGAAGCGCCACAAGGGGUGAAGCCUGCGGUUUAAUUGGAGUCAACGCCGGGAAACUUACCGGGAGAGACAGCAGGAUGAGGUUAAGGCUAAAUACCUUAACCGACGAGCUGAGAGGAGGUACAUGGCCGUCGUCAGCUCGUGCUGUGAAGUGUCCUGUUAAGUCAGGCAACGAGCGAGAUCCCCACUCCUAGUUGCUACUGUUCCUACAGUUGUAGGAACAGGCACUCUAGGAGGACAGUUGCCGAUUAGGGCAAAGGAAGGGGAGGGCGACGACAGGUCCGCAUGCCCCUAA